ACAAAAAAUAUUUUUUAUAUAUAAAUAAAAUGAUCAAAUAUAUAAAAGAAACUAUCGAUAAUAUAUACAAAUAAAAUCACUAUGCGCAAGGCGCAGAUCUUAUCCUAGUUUUAUGUUACAUCAGGUGCUACUCUUUCUAAUGAAUGUUUAAAGAAUAAAACAACAAAAUAAUGUUUGAAUAAAAGAAUGCAUACAGCAUACCUAUUUUGUUGCUUUAGGCUUCAACAAUGUCAUCUCUCCCAUUUCUUUGAUAGAGAUCAAUCAUUCUAUUUCUUAUAUGGUUUAAUCAGUUUUAUUUUAUAUUAAAAAUUCUACGUGUUUUUUUAGCUAGAUUCUUUUCUCAUAUGUUUUCAAUUUUAUUUCAUAUUAAGAUAUAUUCCCUCCGUUCCUAAAAGAUCCAUGUUUUAGAAUUUUCAUAUUUUUUAAUAAAAUAUAUUAAAACUUAGCUAUAAAUGCAUAGUUUUUUGUAAUUUUAUAUUUCUUAUAUUUUUAAACCAAUAAGAUUUUAUGAAAUGCAAUUAAUGUUCUUGAAUUUCACAAUUUCUCAUCAUUAGUCGACAUAAAUUACAUUGAAAAUAUAAAAUAUGUAUCUUUUUGAAACAAAUUUUUUUUCUAAAAUAUGGAUCUUUUAGUAACGGAAGUAGUGUGUUGUAAAUGAUACAAAGGCAUUUAAUACAUCCAUACAAAAAUAACCACAUCGCAAUUCACAUCAUAUUCUUGUUCUUGUGAAUUGAAUAUACGGACGACAUUACUUAUACGUCACGCCGCAACUUUCAUACCACCGAACAAAAUAUAUUAUAAAAGUACAAAACUUAAUUGAAUUUCAUGAGUACUUUUCCCAGUAACAGCUCUUCAUUUCUUUUUCACGUUUAUAAACAACAAAAGAAAAUUCAUCGCAGAGCUAAUAAGAUGAACGUGAAAGUAUGAAUCAUGUGAUUGUAAUAGAAUCAGUAAUCACUAAUCACGGGUUUUUGAUGACAGUUUCAUUGAUUGAAACUGAUUCCAGCUAUUCCAACUUAUAAGAAAGCAAUGUAUUUCCUCGUUUAAGCAAUCUGCAUCGAAAACUCAAUGGGGACUACACUAAUAGCAAACAGCAGAUGCAAAAUUUGAAUAAAAGGAAAUGUUAUUGGAAUGAAAUUUACCAAAACGUAUAUUAAUUUCAGCAGUUAUAAAAUCGCGAAGAACAAUGUGUAACCCGAUCACUGAAGAACAAAGAUAUGGUCGCCUUGGCCGUCAUCAGCGCGGAGAUCUGCCUCAGACUUCUUCUCUGAUCCUUAAGACUCACAUCCUCUAUCGACUAUGAUUAAAGCCCUCCCUCUUCCUUUCUGGUUUCAACUCCUGGUUCUACAUCUAAGAGCUCUGUACAUCCAUUCCCUUUGACACUCUCCAAUCCGAGCUCCGGUCACACCUUGCAUUCUUCAAACGCGAAGAUUUUUGAUCUCAUCAAUCGUUAGUUUAAGUACUAAGUUCGUUGUUAUCGAUGAGGUUGAAGUCUGCAUGUGUGCCCAGCUCAUUGGUUUUCGUGAGAAUUAUAAGUGAAGUAAGGUUAGAGUAAUAAAGUGCAGAAAAUAAACAACACAUAAGUUUUUCUUUUUGAAUUUACUAGAACAAUAAAGCGUUUACACCAA